rnacentral:rRNA from 1 species
UGCCAGCCGCCGCGGUAAUACGAAGGGUGCUAGCGUUGUUCGGAAUUACUGGGCGUAAAGAGCAUGUAGGCGGAUGAAUUAGUCAGAGGUGAAAGCCCGAGGCUCAACCUCGGAAUAGCGCUUGAUACUGAACUGCUUGAGACCGGAAGAGGGUAGUGGAAUUCCCAGUGUAGAGGUGAAAUUCGUAGAUAUUGGGAAGAACACCAGUGGCGAAGGCGGCUAACUGGCUCGGUACUGACGCUGAGAUGCGAAAGCGUGGGGAGCAAACAGGAUUAGAUA